rnacentral:tRNA from 1 species
GCCUAGCUGGCUCAGUCAGUAGAGCAUAUAACUCUUGAUCGCGGGGGUCGUGAGUUCAAGCCCCACGUUGGGCA